CUGCUAGGACCACCGUCACAAAGCCCCACAGCGUGCGGGGCUUCAACCACAGAAAUCUGUAUUCUCACAAUUCUGGAGACCAGGAGUCUGAGAUCAAGGUGUCGGCAGGGCUGAUGUCUUCUGCAGCCCCUCUCCUUGGUUUAUGAAGACCCUCCCUGUGUCCUCACAGGGUCUUCCCUCUGUGCCUGAUCUCCUGUCAGUCAUACUGGGUGAGGGAUCACUGUAUGGCCUCAUUUGACCUUAAUCUCCUUUUUACAGACUGUCUCCUUACUCAGUCACCCAGGCUGGAGGGCAAUGGCGCGAUCUCGGCUCACCACAACCUCCGCCUCCUGGGUUCAGGCAAUUCUCCUGCCUCAGCCUCCCGAGUAGCUGGGAUUACAGGCACGCACCACCACGCCCAGCUAAUUUUUUGUAUUUUUAGUAGAGACGGGGUUUCACCAUGUUGACCAGGAUGGUCUCGAUCUCUGGACCUCGUGAUCCACCCGCCUCGGCCUCCCAAAGUGCUGGGAUUACAGGCACGCGCGACCACGCCCAGCUAAUUUUUGUAUUUUUAGUAGAGAUGGGGUUUCACUUUGUUGACCAGGAUGGUCUUGAUCUCUGGACCUCGUGAUCCACCCGCCUCGGCCUCCCAAAGGGCUGGGAUUACAGGCUUGAGCCACUGCGCCCAGCCGUAUCCUAAAAAUCUUUUGUGUUGCUGAGCUACUCAUCCCUCCCUCCUGCUAAGCCCUGGUGACAGCUGAUCUUUUCGCUGUCCCCAUAGUUUUACCUUUUCCAGAAUGUCACCUAGUUGGAAUCGCACAGUCCAGUCUUUUUAGACUGGCGUCUUCCACUUCGUAAGCUUCCUCCAUGCCUGGUCAUGGCUUCGUAGCUCCUCUGUAGUACGGCUGUUCCACCGUUUACGUACGCGGUCAGCUACAUUUUGGUGGCACGAAGACAUUUUGGUUGCUUCCAAGUUUCAGCACUCAUGAAUAACGUUGCUACAAACAUUCAUGUGCAGGUUUUUGCACGGAUGUAAGGUUUUUAGCUCCUUUGAGUAGAUACCAAGGAGUGUGAUUGCUGGAUGGGACGGGAGGCGUACAUACUGGCAGAGUGUCUUCCAAAGUGGCUGCGUUCUCACCAGCAGUGAGUGAGAGGUCCUGUGGUCUCGCAUCCUCCCUGGCACUGGCUGCUGCUGCUGUUCCGGAUUCUGGCUGUUCUCACAGAUGGGGUCUUGCUCUGUCACCCAGGCCAGAGUGCAGUGGCACAAUCACAGCUCACUGCAGCCUUGACCUCCUGAGUUAAAGCUAUCCUCCCACCUCAGCCUCUCAAGUAACUGGGACUACAGUUGAGGGUCCAGAACAGAGCCUAUCCAGGUGGGAAGUGGCAAGGCCAGGAUAUGCCCCCUGGGGACCCUAGGACCAGCUCUGUUCCUAUCUCUGAGCUCCCUCCGCCCAUCAGGUAAGAUCUGGUCACUUCUGUACUGCUUUGAAUCAACUGUGUGCCAGGCACGGGCCAAUCACUGAGAUUUCUAAGGUACACGGGUGGGGCUGGAGGUUAGGAGAGAGCUUUCAAAUCACUUUCAGCCUAGCGGGGAAGGCAGGCCCAUCACCAAGGCAGUCCACCAACAAGGCUAGAGAGAGGCUUAGCCUGAGGGAAGAGCCCCACUUCCGUGGCAUCCUGGGUGACAUUUGAACAACUAACGACUCAUUUCAUUACCCAGGAUCGAGCUUCACCCCAGGCAGAUUCGUUCUAAGAUGAAGGUGCCUACUGCUUGCUGUGGUCCUCAUGUCCUUGUCUCCCAAAAUUCAUAAGUUAAAAUCUUACCCCCAAGUCAUAUCAGGAGGCAGGGUUUAGGGGAGAAGGCUGGGCUAUAAGGAGUGAAUCUCUAGGAAUGGGUUUAGUGUCCUUAGGAAAGAGGCCCUUGAGAGGACCAUCAUCCCUUUUGCCAUGUGAGGUUACAGUAAGAAGUGGCUGGCUAAGCAUAGUGGUUCUUGUCUAUAAUUCCAGCAAUUUGGGAGGCCGAGGUGGGAGGAUCGCUUGAAGCCAGGAGUUUGAGACCAUCCUGAGCAACAUAGGGAAACCUUGUCUCUAUAAAAAAAAAUACAAAAAUUAGGCCAGGCAUGGUGGCUUAUGCCUGUGAUCCCAGCAUUUUGGGAGGCCAAGGCAGGUGGACUGCUUGAGGUCAAGACCAGUCUGGUCAACAUGGUGAAACCCCGUCUCUACUAAAAAUACAAAAAAUUAGCUGGGCAUGGUGGCGCAUGCCUGUAAUCCCAGCUACUCGGGAGGCUGAGGCAGGACAAUUGCCUGAUCCCAGGAGGCGGAGGCUGUGGUGAGCCGAGAUCGCGCCAUUGCACUCCAGCCUGGGCAACAAAGAAGGACCCUGUUUCUAAAAUUUAAAAAAUAAAAUAAAAUAAUAAUAAUGAUAGUAAUAAAGGAAGAGGUCAUUUAUGACCCGGAAAUCAGGCCCUCACCAGAUCUACCAGCACCUUGAUCUUGGAUUCCCAGACUCCAGCACUGUGAGCAGUACCUACAUUCCUACUGUUUACAAGCCAGCCAGUUUAUGGUGGUUUUUUUUUUUUUUUUUUUGAGACGGAGUUUCGCUCUUGCUACCCAGGCUGGAGUGCAAUGGCACGAUCUCGGCUCACCGCAACCUCCGCCUCCUGGGUUCAGGCAAUUCUCCUGCCUCAGCCUCCUGAGUAGCUGGGAUUACAGGCACGCGCCACCAUGCCCAGCUAAUUUUUGUAUUUUUAGUAGAGACGGGGUUUCACCAUGUUGACCACGAUGGUCUCGAUCUCUUGACCUCGUGAUCCACCCGCCUCGGCCUCCCAAAGUGCUGGGAUUACAGGCUUGAGCCCCCGCCCCCGGCCAGUUUAUGGUGUUUUUAUUACAGAAGGCUGGACGGACACAGGCUGGACCUGACUCCAGAAACUG